UAGGGAAUUGUUCGCAAUGGGCGCAAGCCUGACGACGCAACGCCGCGUGGAGGAUGAAGACCUUCGGGUCGUAAACUCCUUUCGAUCGAGACGAAUAGCCUCUGGGCUAAUCACCAGAGGAAUGACGGUACCGAGAGAAGAAGCCCCGGCUAACUCCGUGCCAGCAGCCGCGGUAAUACGGGGGGGGCAAGCGUUGUUCGGAAUUACUGGGCGUAAAGGGCUUGUAGGUGGCCAACUAAGUCAGACGUGAAAUCCCUCGGCUUAACCGGGGAACUGCGUCUGAUACUGGAUGGCUUGAGUGUGGGAGAGGGAUGCGGAAUUCCAGGUGUAGCGGUGAAAUGCGUAGAUAUCUGGAGGAACACCGGUGGCGAAGGCGGCAUCCUGGACCAUGACUGACACUGAAAAGCGAAAGCCAGGGGAGCAAACG
rnacentral:rRNA from 1 species